UGAUCAAAAUGUAAAGUUUGUUUGAUGUUUUCGCCGCGACGAUUCGAAAUGAAACGAAGAAUUUAGCAGAAGUGAAGGUCACCGGAGAGGUGAAUGAGGAUUUUACCACUGGAACUAGAGAGCUUGGCUCUGACUGGUCUACUACAGCAGGGAAUGUGCCAGGGGCCAAUCUGAUGAACAAGUGGCAGAAGAUUUGGCAAUGGGUGAAGAAACACUGAGAUUGAAAUGCAACCACAGGUGGAGGCUUCACCCAAACUUUUCAGACGGAUGCGAGAUACAAAGUUACCCAAGUAUAAAUGGUUGAAGGUUUUGGAGAGCCAGACAAGAAGGCAGGAAAUGUGAUGUCACUUUUACUUCAAUAAACAUGAACAGCAGCAGGAGCAACAACAGCAUCAGCAGCAGAAACCUCAACUGCAAUAAGAGAUGCAGCAACCGCACCGACAACAUCAAGAGCAACAGCAAAAAUACCUACAUGUAUUACAGCAGAAAUGCAACAAUCACAUUGGCAACAUCAACAGCAGCAGGAGCUCCAACAACCAUGCAGGGAACAUCGCGCGCAACAUGAAUAACUUCAUCAAGAGAUGCAACAACCACAGUGGUAAACAUCAACAGCAGUAGCGACAACGACAGUAGAAACAAAGCCAAUGUCAAGGAUUAAGCAAUCAUACAGGAAACAACACAAGCGGCAACAUCAAUAAAUGCAUCAGGGGAUGCAACAGCCAUACUUGUAAACAGCAGCAGUAGCAGCGAUGACAAGAGCAACCACGCAGGCAACACCUUGAGCAACAUCAGUAGCAAUGCACCAGCAAUGAAACAAUCACACCAACAACACCAAGAGCAGCAGCAAAAAGAAAAUAAAUUCCAGCAACCAUGAUGACAACAGCAGCGG
rnacentral:lncRNA from 1 species